UUAUCUUCUCUCUCAGCGUUAGGGUUCGUAUCUUUAUAUAGUCACAUAUUCAAUUUCGAUUACUUUCGUUUUAUUGUAAUAUUCUCUAAUUCAUUGUGCGUUGAUUAUUGAGAUGGCGAAAUCAAAGAAUCACACUGCUCACAACCAAUCCUACAAGGCCCACAGGAAUGGCAUCAAAAAACCUAAGAGGCACCGCCACACUUAACCAAAGGGAUGGAUCCAAAGUUUCUGAGGAAUCAAAGGUAUGCCAGGAAGCACAACAAGAAGAAUGGUGAAACUGGCACUAAUGAAGAGUAAAGAGAUACUAUUAAAUGAAACUAUUAGGGUUUUUAUUGAGAUCAAUUUGUUUGUUUUAAAUGGUUAGUUAUCUUUAGUACACUCGCACCCUGAGUUUUAAUGAAAUUACAUAGAUCAUUCAUCCAUUUUUUAUACCUACAAAAAAACCCUCUGAUUUUUGCAUAUACAUUACACACUACCGAGGUAAGUGUGAUUUAAACAAAAUAUGGAAAAAAAUCCAAAUAGUACAUGAUUUAACACAUUUUCAUUAUUUUUAUUCGUUAUAAUAUCUUAUAAGAGUGAUUUAAAUAAUAUCUCCUUGUAUUUUGUAAUGAUAAAAAAUAAUGAAAAUGUUAUAAUAUGCACGCUGAAUGAUGUUUUGUUUAACUUCAUCAUUUUUUAUGUUAAAAAAAUUACAUUUAUUUCACUGAAACUCAGUCAGUAAUCAGGGAUCAGGGAUGUGGUCUGUAUAAUUUCCGUAAUCCACUCUUAUCUUUAUUAUUUUGAAGAACUUGAAGUUGUUUUAUCAAUUGAAAAUUGUUGCAGCAACUAGUCAAUUAGAUAGAAGGUUAUCAUUUCACAUUCAAUGCUUAAAGAUGUUUUCUUUUUGUAUCUCACAUCCACAGGCUGUUAAGAGAAGCAUUAUGUUUUCUUGCAUUGCAGGUGCAUUUUAUUGUAUAUGGGUCUAAAGUUCGGUUAUUAAAAAACAUCAAUAGAAGCUCCCACUUUCAAAAAAAUCCGAAACUCAUUGGAAAGACCAAUGAUAUUGUAAUGGGUCUAGAGUAUUAUAAUGCCUUAAAAAGAUAGCAACAGAGUAUAA